rnacentral:misc_RNA from 1 species
GAUGAAGAACGUAGCGAAAUGCGAUACUUGGUGUGAAUUGCAGAAUCCCGUGAACCAUCGAGUCUUUGAACGCAAGUUGCGCCCGAAGCCAUUAGGCCGAGGCACGCCUGCCUGGGCGUCACACGUCGUUGCCCCCCCAUCUACUCCUUCGGGAUUGCGGGGGGCGGAUGAUGGCCUCCCGUGCGCCUCGUCGCGCGGUUGGCAUAAAUACCAAGUCCUCGGCGACGCACGCCACGACAAUCGGUGGUUGCGAAACCUCGGUUGCCCGUCGUGUGCGGUCGUCGCGCAUCGAGGGCUCGAAAAAAUUGCCGGGCUCCGGCUCGGCUUUCAACGCGACCCCAGGUCAGGCGGGGUUACCCGCUGAAUUUAAGCAUAUCAAUAAGCGGAGGA